GUUGCACCUCCACCAUAAGCGCCUGCACCAUAGGUUCCAAAUCCACUUGUAUUGGUUCCUGUGGUUUGUGCACCAUGAGUUCCAAUUCCACUUGCAUGGGUCCCUGAAGUUGGUACACCAUGGGUUCCAGGUACACCAUGGGUUCCAAACCCACUUGUAUGGGUUCCUGUGGUUGGUACACCGUGGGUUCCAAACCCACUUGUAUGGGUCCCUGUGGUUGGUGCAAAGGUCCCUGUGGUUGGUAUACCAUGGGUCCCUGUGGUUGGUGCACCGUAGGUCCCUGUGGUUCCAGCAGUAUGGGUUCCAGUGGUAGGAAUAGUGGCUGCGACACCAGUGACAUGGACAGGAUUGCC
rnacentral:lncRNA from 1 species